rnacentral:lncRNA from 1 species
CAGCUGGAUAGUGCUCAUGUUGGCAGGGCUGUGGCCUACGGGGACCCCCAUGCUCUGAUGUUAGGAGGGUAGACUGGUACAUUCCUUGAGAGAUCAAUCUGGAAGAGUUCAGGUAAGCAUGCCCUUGGAAUUCCGUGGGAUUCUGUGGAAUUUAUAUGCACACGCAUACCACCACCAAUCUUCUCUGUGUCGAUGAGGGCAUAGCUCAGUGUGUUUAUCUGUAUGUGGUGGGGUAUGAAGACAACUGGGCACCCAUCACUUGGGGGGUGAUGAGAUAGAAUGUGGCAGACACCACAGGGAUCUGUAUAGUCCUUCCAAUCGAUGGAGGAGGGGUGCACUUAGCCACAUGAAUGCACCUUUGUGCAGUAUGAAAAAAUUAAGCAGCAGGCUGGGCACGGUGGCUCACGCCUGUAAUCCCAGCUCUUUAGGAGGCCGAGCAGGGCAGAUCACCUGAGGUUAGGAGUUCAAGACCAGCCUGACCAACAUGGUGAAACCCCAUCUGUACUAAAAAUACAAAAAUUAGCCUGGCAUAACCUGGGAGACAGAGGUUGCAGUGAGCUGAGAUUGCACCAUUGCAUUCUAGCCUGGGCAACAAGAGCGAAACUCUGUCUCAAAAAAAUAAAAAAAAAGAAAAAAAAAAGAAAAAAUUAAGAAGCAGCUAGGCAAGGCAACCUUAUUUGUGGAAGUCAUACAGGUACACACCAAGAAACAGGCACUUUCUAAGGUUACAUCUAAAUAACAAGAUGCAUAUUAUCCAUUGGCCUGGUUGCCUAGGAUGGGGUGGUUAAAAAGGAGUGAAAAGAGGCAAAAUAAAUAAUAAGAUGAGAGAAGGGAGAUUAAAAAAUACUUUAUACGGUUCUAGUCUUCCCACUGUCUAGAGAAAGCAACCUAUGAGCUUUUCUUCACACACCUCUUUCUAGUUUAACCCAUUUGUGCCUGAGGUUGCUAUUUUUUGAGUUUUUGCAAUCAGACCUUGGCAAUGACCUUGAGCAGUAGGGAAUAAAUAACUCCCAUAUGCUCAGUGUUCCAAUAAUGGAACACUAGGCAUACAUAUGUUUUAAUGAGCUCAAGUGGCCCCUCUAGAACUCUUUUUUUUUACAAUGCCCAUUCCCAGGCCAGAGCUUUGCAGCUUCUUUUUCUGUUGGUCUGGGGUAGGAACCUAAAUUGUGUAUUUUUAACAGUCUCACUUUGUGAUUCUGACAUAGGUGGCCCUUAGUCCAUUUGAGAAGCUGAUCAAGACCGACUUUGACUUCCCUGUUUUGGACAUGUCCACCCCUUGCUCACUGCUGCUGGACUUGGCCUUGGUCUGAUCUGUGCUGUCUCAUCUUGCCCCUCUAGGAUCGGCUGUCUGCUCUGCACUAACCCAGCCGCUAGCCUGGUCCCUGUUCUGGCUUUGCUGGGUGGACGUGGCAUUGGCCCUGACCAUCUGCCUUGCUGGCCUUCAUUACAGCCAGACCCCCACUCAGGGCUCGCAGCUCCUGUGGUCUCAUCCCCAAGAACCAAGACAGGGCAAUGUCUCUUACUGCCUGUAAGAGCUUGUCGUCCAGGCCUGGAGCAAGAGCCACUGUGGACCCCAGAGCCACAGGAACGCCUCUGCCUGCGGCGGAUGCCUGGCCAGGCUGAGGCACGCGUGGGAAAGUGCUAAUCAGGACUUUUCUCUCUGGGUGGCUCGCACCAUCCUGGCAGAAAGGCAGUGGGUCACUGUGUGGCCACACAGCCCAGAGCCAUUCAGGGGGCAGGAGGGAACAUGCAGAGCGGAAAUGAAAUGUCCCCUCUCAGAGCUGCCAGGCCAGAUGACGUGCCCCGAACAGUCGCGACUUUCUUUGUGAGGACCAGGGCUGCAUAAUGCGCAUCCCCGAAUAGAGCCCCGUCACCCGGGAGACAGAGGCCUUUUCUUUCGCAGGCUGGUGACUUCACUGUACAUUCCCAGGCCGCGGGAAGCACUGGGAAGCCUCUCUUCCGCCAGGCCUCGGACAAUGCCGGGGAAGCAGGGGAGGCGCUCGCGGGGGCCUGGACAUGGGCAGCGCCGGCGGAGAGAGGUCCACAUUGCCACGCUGGUCAUGUCGAGCCCAGGCUGGCCACAAAAACGGCCUCUGUGAAUGGGGAUCAGCGGGGCAGGGGCUGGUUUCCUUUCACCCCUCCAUGAAGAGGAGGCUGAGAUGGAAAACAGCAGGCGAAGAAGGAGCUGGGGAGCCGGGGUUGGAUAAGCACAGGCCCAGCGCUCCAUCACACGCUGACUGUCCCCUGGCAGGGACUGGAAUGUACAUGAACGAGUUCUGGAAGCUCUAGAGACUGUCUUCUUAACUGUAAAAGGAGCUCCCAAUGGCCACUUAUGGGAUGGCUAUGGGAUUAAAUUUCACUAAGUGCAUAAUAGUCCUUGCAAGAUAAGUUAGGAAUUCUUCAAUAGACACUGCCCCAAAACUGUACUAUGGGCCAGACAAUUAGCCCUUAUUAAUAUCAAUGGAUACAAUCUUAAGAAUAGUUUGCAGCCAGGCGCGGUGGCUCAAGCCUGUAAUCCCAGCACUUUGGGAGGCCGAGGUGGGCAGAUCACGAAGUCAGGAGAUCGAGACCACGGUGAAACCCCGUCUCUACUAAAAAUAUAAAAAGUUAGCCGGCGGCAGUGGCGGGUGCCUGUAGUCCCAGCUACUCAGGAGGCUGAGGCAGGAGAAUGGCGUGAACCCGGGAGGCGGAGCUUGCAGUGAGCCGAGAUCGCGCCACUGCACUCCAGCCUGGGUGACAGAGCCAGACUCCGUCUCAAAAAAUAAAAUAAAACAAAAUAAAAAUAAAAAAUAAAAAAAAAACUUUGCAAAACAGAUUUUCUUAUUUCAUCUCAUGGGCCCACUUUGCAGUUGAAGACAUUGAAACUCAGAUGGUUUAGGUAAGGUACCCACCCAGCGCACAGGAAUUGGCAGAUCUUUCAUCUCCAAGUUCAGUGAUUCUUCCCCUGUGCCAACGAUGUGUCUUUUCUAUGUCCCAAUAGUUUACCCAACUGGGAAUUCUGCCCUUUCUGGAAAAUUUGACCUAGCCUCUGCUCAACACAGAAGUGAUUCAUUUUCAGAUCACCGUCCGCGGACAGCCCCUACAUUGUCUGGCCUGACCUAUUUCUCCUCCCUCUACUCAGGGCAGAUGGAAAAUUUUCUUCCCAGCUGUGCCUUCUCUUUGAGAUUGCCCACCACUCUUCUGAUGGCCUGAUUUGAGACUAUCCCCUCUGCUGUAUACCCAGCAUUGGCGAGGCCAGGUCAGGCAGGCAUCCAACCUCAGCCACGGAAUUCAACCAGCAGCUGUGCACUCAUGCAGCUGGCAGCUUCAGAGGACAAAUGCUAGCAUUUCCUCCAAUUCAGGGGGCUUCUUAGAGUUUAAUUCUCACUGACUUCUCUUGGCACUGGGCAGGACGAGGGUCUUAGUACAGUGACCCUGGAGUGCUAGCCUUUAUUGUGGUCUUUAACAUGACUGGUCCUGCAGAGAUCCAUGUGGUAGAAGAAAUUCCAGCCCUUCAUUAUCAUUUGGGCCCUUUUCUUUUCUAACAGGUGAGUGUAUGAUGGUCACUGGCACUAUGAUUGACUGACAGAAGAACACCAGAGACACUCAAUAGAGGAGGGCAUGGGGACCAGGUGUCUACCUAAGGCAGGAGAUGGCCCAGCAUGUGCUUUCUAGAAGCUCAGAGCAGCACACACUGAGCCUGCAGGUGGCUGACCUCUCCCGCCAGGAGCGAGAAAUCUGCCAGGUGUCAGGAGCUGCUCUGCAUCUGGAGCACAUCAGGCAUCUCCAGAUGUGGGGUACCCUUUGCCAUUAAAGAAACUGAUAUUCUCUUACUGGGCCUGCUGUCAUCUUUAGUCAAUCAUCUUCAAUGAUCAUCUUACAUUGGUCAUGAGCCACGGCAGGCAAGGAAGUGGGAGCAGCAUGACAUGGUGAAGAGGUCUGAGGCGGGAGUCCAGGCUCUGCAGGAGGGCAUCUGGUCUUGAAUCCUGUCCUAACACAAACUGUGUGAGCUCUGUCAAGUUCCCUUUGCUUCUCUAGAUUGUAGAUCUCUCUUCUGUGAAAGGAGCGUGUUUGUUUCCUAUUGCUGCUUGUGUAAGUCAAGGUUCUUCAGAGGAACAGAACAAUAGGAUUCAUAUAUAUAUAUGUAUAUAAUUUUUUAAAGGUAUUGGCUCAUGUGGUUAUGAGGCCUGACAAGUUCCUAGAUCUGUAGUUGGCAAGCUGGAGACCUGGGAGAGCCAAGAGUGUAGUUCCAGUCCAAAAGCUAGCAGGCUCGAGACCCAAAAAGAGCUGACGUUGCAGUUUGAGUCCAAAGGCAGAAAAAAAUCAAACAAACAAUGCCCCAGCUCAAAGGCAGUCAGGCAGGUGGAAGUCUUCCCUUACUCGAGGGAGAGUCAGCCUUUUUGUUCUAUUCUGGCUGUCAACUGAUUGGAUGAGGCCCACCCGCAUUAGGGCAGGCCGUCUGCUUCACUCACUGGACUGAUUCAAAUGCUGAUCUCAUCCAGAAACAUCUUCAAAGACACACCCGGAAUAAUGUCUGACCAAAUGUCUGGGCACUCUGUAGUUGAUGAAGUUGAUACAUAAAAUUAACUACCACACUAACUUUGUCUAAGAAGUGUUCUUUCUACUACAAUUACGCUCAUUCUCCCUCUGGCAAGUUAUGAGGAAAAUCAACCAAAAGCCAGACACUAGGCUUAGUGUUUGGUCCUAAAAUAACUCAGGACAGGUUUCUAGAACAGCUAGAUUUGAAGAAAAGAGCUGACUGCAGGGGGCUCCUCCUUCAUGUGUUAAGGCCUUAUUCUGAUGUGAAAGACAAGGAUGAAAUGGGAAGAUGUCCAAUGAAGAUGCCAUAUUUCUAAUAUGGAGAGCAGAAGCCAAAUGGGAGAGAAUGGACAGAAAUUCCAGUUAGAGUUUUGAGAAAACAAACAUUCUAGGCAACCAAACAACACACCAACCAACCAACCAACCAACCUAUCCACCCACCCACUAACCAACUAACUAACCAGCCAACCUACUCCCCCAUACCCACCAACCAACUAACCAACCCACCCUCCCACCAACCAAUUAACCAGGCAACCCACUCACACCCCUCCCCUCCAACAACCAACAAACCAACCACCCCCUAUACAAACAGCUUUUGGUUGCACAUAACCAAAGCUGUUGUUGAGUGGGAAGUGGAGAUUGUCUAAUUAAUAAUCUGUUUUAUUCUUUUUCAGAUCACGUUGCACAGGGUACAUAAAGCUGAAUCAUCUGGGGGAAGUUUGCUAAAGACACAGAAUGCAAAGCCCCAUCUCACUCUUCUUGAAUCAGAAUGGCUGACUGUGGUGCUCAGGAAUUUGCAUGUUUAAUAAGUUUUCCCCGGGUGAUUCUAAUGAAUGCAACUUGAGUACUGUUUAGUAUAUGCUGAGUAUACCUGGAGCUUUGAUGUGCUGCAGGGAUUAGAAGAGUUUUCUGAUUUUGACCUUCCCAUUUUGAAAUAAGUAGAUUCACCAUUUUUUUUUUUUUUGGGAUGGAGUCUCACUCUGUCGCCCAGGCUGGAGUGCAGCGGCGCGAUCUCUACUCACUCACUGCAACCUCUGCCUCCUGGGUUCAAGAGAUUCUUCUGCCUCAGCCUCCUGAGUAGAGAUGGAGUUUCGCCAUGCUGGCCAGGCUGGUCUCGAACUCCUGACCUCGUGAUCCACCCACCUCGGCCUCCCAAAGUGCUAGGAUUACAAGCCUGGUGACCAAGUGGCUUAUUGUCCAUGAAGGGAGGUUUGUAAGAGGAAGGGAGGCUUGUAAGUAUCGCAUUUUAGGACACGCUGUGGAAGCCAGGACUGCCCUGCGCAGCAGCCACUGUGAACAGCUUGUGAUUCAUAUAGAGUUUCACUCUUAUUGCCCAGGCUGGAGUACAGUGGCACAAUCUUGGCUCACUGCAACUUCUGCCUCCUGGGUUCAAGCAAUUCUCCUGCCUUAGCCUCCCGAGUAGCUGGGAUUACAGGCACCUGCCACCACCCCUGGCUAAUUUUUCACUGCGCAGGGCCAAGGAAAGUACCUGGACCAUGUGUGUUGAAGAAAUGAAGAUGGAGGUGGCACUGGAGUUCUUUAGCAAUGCUAGAGGCACAGGACCUGGGAGCCAGGAUUUACAGGCUGGGUAGCACUCACACCCUUGACUGCAGCUCAGAAUCAGCUGGGGUGCUUUUGAGAGAAAUGAUUCCUAGGCUCCAGCUCAUACCACUUAUGGGUCUAGAAAUCUGUACAGAUGCUCCUCGACUUAUGGUUGGGGUUUCAUUUCAAUAAACCUAUCAUAAGUCAAAAA